rnacentral:tRNA from 1 species
GCCGAUUUAGCUCAGCCGGUUAGAGCGGCUGUUUUGUAAACAGCAGGUCCUCGGUUCGAGUCCGAGAAUCGGCUCCA